AUUGAACGCUAGCGGCAGGCUUAACACAUGCAAGUCGAACGAGAGGCGGACGAGUAAGUAAAGCGUGGGAAACAGGCUGAUGGAGGGGGGUAACUACGGGAAACUGUAGCUCAUACCGAGUAACAUAGGAUGCGCCCAGGUGGGAUUAGGUAGUUGGUGAGGUAAAGGCUCACCAAGGCGACGAUCUCUAGCUGGUCUGAGAGGAUGACCAGCCCCACUGGGACUGAGACACGGCCCAGACUCCUACGGGAGGCAGCAGUGGGGAAUAUUGCGCAAUGGGGGCAACCUGACGCAGCCAUGCCGCGUGAAUGAAGAAGGCCUUCGGGUUGUAAAGUUCUUUCGGUAGCGAGGCGUUAACUACAGAAGAAGCACCGGCUAACUCCGUGCCAGCCGCCGCGGUAAUAC
rnacentral:rRNA from 1 species